rnacentral:rRNA from 1 species
CCCUAAAAUACUUUCUUUUGACUCGUCUUGUAACACGAUCCAAGGAGGCAAACAAGAAGGAGAGGAAGUUGGAGAGGAGGAAAGCCAAAGUCCGAAAUGAAAGUGAGUGGGAGGGAAGGAGGGGGUUUAUUACCCCCCUGCUGCACCUCCUGACGAACACGCGACAUUGAGUCUACUGUUUUGAUCGUUAUUCUUGUUGUUUGGACCCGAAAGGCGGUGAUCUUUUGCUGGUUAGGAUGAAGCCUUCAGAAAUGAAGGUGGAGGUCCGACAGGGUGCUGACGUGCAAAUCGCUCCCCGAAGCUGGCAAAUGGGGCGAAAGACUAAUCGAAUCGUCGUAGUAGCUGGUUCUAGUCGAAGUUUCCCUCAGGAUAGCAAUGGAUGGGAAAGAGUUUGAUCAGGUAAAGAAAUGAUUAGAAGACUGGGGGGCAAGAGCCCUUCACUUAUUCUCAAACUUUAAAUUGGUCAGGAAUUGGCUUUGCUUUGGUGAAAGCCGAGCGAGAAUCGAACAUCCAUGAGUGGGCGAUUUUUGGUAAGCAGAACUCGCGAUGGGGAAUCAACCAAAAGGCAUGCUUAAGGCGCCGAAAUCUCGGUUAAUGUAGAGAAAAAAGCGUGCGCAUUUGAAGACAGUCAUGACGUGGCCAUGGAAGUUGGAAUCGUCUAAGGAGUGUGUAACAACUCAAUGACCGAAAAUGGGUGCCUUGAAAAUGGAUGGCGCUGAAACCGAGUGCCUAGAGCAGCCGGAUGGACCAGGGGUAGAGGGCCAUCCUGUAGGCUAGCGUGCAGAGUGGGGCGAAGGUGUGCAGCAGUGAUGCUGACUGGACCGCUCUGUAGUGCAGAUCUUGGGGCUAGUAGCAAGUAGAGAAGGGAGGAACUUCUCAACCGAGAGACCAAAGGUUCCUCAGGAAUCGUAAUGAAAUGAGGGUGAGGCGGUCCUAAGGGAGAUCUGAAAAGAGUUUUGGAAAAGGGGGUGUAAGCACGUGUGUGGCAUGCCCCAGCUCCCGAAAGGGAAAAAGGUUAAUAUUCCUUUCCGUUCGUAGAGAGAGUAGGAAUCGGUGACGAGGAGGAGAGAAACAGGAGAAGGCAGGAGGGGGUGGGACAAGAGAUGUCUGUUCUUGUGAAGGGGGGAUUUGGAAAGAGGGAGGGAGAAGCGGGGGGAGGAACGUCACGUACGUUUCGACCUACCGCCCCUUCUGGAACUUGCUCUGAUGAAUGAAGUUGCUUCGAGACUCAGGUGUUCACCCCGAGAGGUCGGUUAAACGACCAGUGUGCGUUGCUGGGUUCAGCUGGCGCAUUCCCACUGUCCUUGUGUUCCGUGAAAAUCCUGUGGAUUGUGUAUGGGAGUGGCUUUGGCAACAAGGGUGCUCCUCUGCUUUUCACGAAUUCCGUACUGUAAUCCGCAACAGGUGGUCUAUUUUUGAAGAAUAUGGUUUGACAGGAAAACGUUUCAAAGGGAAGUCGGCAAACUGGAUUCCUACGUUCGCAAGAAGAAUUGUCUCGUUGGGUGAGAGGAAGGAGAGGAGUAGUGUGUGUUUUGUGCGCACACUGCAUUUGCUGCUGGGGCAUCAAAGUCUGUUGAAGGAAAGUGUAAGAAGCUUUCAAAGAAGAGCAGCCCCUUGGCGGCCAGCGCGAGAGCGCCUCCCUAUUCACCUCCAACGAAAUCAUGGAGACUCUGAGAACCCGACAGUUUAAUUAAAACCAAGCAAUCUGAGGGCCGGAAAUCGGUGUUGACAGAUUGUGAUUUCUGCUCAGUGCCUCGAAUGUAAAGCGUUUGAAAAAACGUGAAGCGCAGGUAAACAGCGGGAGUAACUAUGACUCUCUUAAGGUAGCCAAAUGCCUCGUCAUCUAACUAGUGACGCGCAUGAAUGGAUCAAUGAGGUUCUCGCUGUCCCUUGGAGCAACCUGGCGAAAAUACAGCAUAGGGAACGGGCUAUGCAAUUGACAGCGGGGAAAGAAGACCCUGUUGAGCUUGACUCUAGUCUAAUGUUGAUUUCCGAAUCUGAUGGUGUAGAAUAGGGGGGAGGCACAUUGUGCCGAAGGUGAAAUACCUCCACAUCUGAAUUUGGAUGUCUAAAGAGAUGGAAGGGGAGUGGCGAGGGCGGCCUUUGCGGGUUGUGUUCGUCAUGAUUCAACUGAAAUGUGAGUUGAAGGGGGAUCGGAUGGGAGGACUUGGGAGGGGGAAGGGUGUGCUCGCCCUUUCCCCACCAGCCUCCCCUCUCCCCCCCUACCCCCUUCUCUAACAGGAUUAGUCGGGGAGUUUGGCUGGGGCGGCACGCGUUCUAAACGAUAACGAACGCGUCCAAAGGUUGGCUCAGACAGAACGGAAAUCUGUCGUGGAUUAUAAGGAAAAAAGCCAGCUUUACUGUGUCCUUCAGUGAUGGAACCAGAAUUGAAAAAUUGGCCUAACGAUCCUUUGUGUAUGCGGAGUGCGCAUCCAGAGGUGCCAGAAAAGUUACCACAGGGAUAACUGGCUUGUGGCAGUCAAGCGUUCACAGCGACAUUGCUUUUUGAUUCUUCGAUGUCGGCUCUUCCUAGCCUCGCACCGCAGAAGAUGCGAAGGGUUGGAUUGUUCACCCAUAAAAAGGGAACGUGAGCUGGGUUUAGACCGUCGUGAGACAGGUUAGUUUUACCCUACUGUCGAGGGGGCAGAUUGACAGAAAUAUGAAGUAGUACGAGAGGAACGUUCAUGUCGCGUAUUUGGUUAAUCUCUUGGUGGGAGGGCCAGUGGGGAGAAGCUAAACGCGAGGGAUACAGGCUGAAAGCCUCGAAGCCUUGAGCCCGUCUGGAG